rnacentral:lncRNA from 1 species
UUUUUAUUGGGUAUUAUUCUAGAAAUGCCCCAUCCCUUUUCAUUCCCCUAUAGGCUAUAAUGCCCAUAGGGGAUGGUAUAAGGGCAUUAUCAAAACCUUCACGCCCCUAUAAAGCCCCAUUAUAAAAAUUUAGGAAUUAGGCAUUUGGGCUUAUAUAUUAGGUAUUAGGCUUUGAGUAUUAUUGAGUUUUAUCAGGUGUGGCUCAACUUUGCUCGUUUACUAAAGCUUGUUAUUGCCCAAACAAUGAUGGCCAAUGGUGGUUGUUGUCGAAGGGUGUUGGUGAACCUGAUUUCGGAUGAUUGAGGAUUUGAUGAUGAAUAACCGUCUAAGAAAACGAAAUUGGGGAGUUUUAGAGGAGAAUCGUGAUCGUGAUUUUGAGUUUGCAUUUUUAUGAUUUGGUGUAGAGAAAAAUGGGAAGAAAGCAUCAGAUUUGGUGGGCAAUCCUACAUGUCAUAUCUCUAAAUUUAUUAUAGUCUGCAGGUGACUUUGAAGAUUAGUAACAG